rnacentral:rRNA from 1 species
AGCGAACGCUGGCGGCAGGCCUAACACAUGCAAGUCGAACGGAUCCUUCGGGAUUAGUGGCGGACGGGUGAGUAACACGUGGGAACGUGCCCUUUGGUUCGGAACAACUCAGGGAAACUUGAGCUAAUACCGGAUGUGCCCUUCGGGGGCAAGAUUUAUCGCCAUUGGAGCGGCCCGCGUCUGAUUAGCUAGUUGGGGAGGUAACGGCCCACCAAGGCGACGAUCAGUAGCUGGUCUGAGAGGAUGAUCAGCCACACUGGGACUGAGACACGGCCCAGACUCCUACGGGAGGCAGCAGUGGGGAAUCUUGCGCAAUGGGCGAAAGCCUGACGCAGCCAUGCCGCGUGAAUGAUGAAGGUCUUAGGAUUGUAAAAUUCUUUCAGCGGGGACGAUAAUGACGGUACCCGCAGAAGAAGCUCCGGCUAACUUCGUG